rnacentral:rRNA from 1 species
UCGAGAAUCUUCCGCAAUGGGCGAAAGCCUGACGGAGCGAUGCCGCGUGAGGGAUGAAGGCCUUCGGGUUGUAAACCUCUGUCGCCCGGGACGAAACAAUGACGGUACCGGGAGAGGAAGCUACGGCUAACUACGUGCCAGCAGCCGCGGUAAUACGUAGGUAGCGAGCGUUAUUCGGAUUCACUGGGCGUAAAGGGUCCGCAGGAGGCCUGUCAAGCCAGACGUGAAAGCCCAAGGCUCAACCUUGGAAUGGCGUCUGGGACUGCCGGGCUUGAGUGCACGAGGGGAAAGCAGAAUUCCUGGUGUAGCGGUGGAAUGCGUAGAUAUCAGGAGGAAUACCGAUGGCGAAGGCGGCUUUCUGGCGUGCAACUGACUCUCAGGGACGAAAGUGUGGGUAGCAAACAGG